rnacentral:rRNA from 1 species
UACGGAGGGUGCAAGCGUUAUCCGGAUUCACUGGGCUUAAAGGGCGCGUAGGCGGGUAGGUAAGUCAGUGGUGAAAUCUUCGAGCUUAACUCGGAAACUGCCUUUGAUACUAUCUAUCUUGAAUAUUGUGGAGGUAAGCGGAAUAUGUCAUGUAGCGGUGAAAUGCUUAGAUAUGACAUAGAACACCGAUUGCGAAGGCAGCUUACUGCGCAUAUAUUGACGCUGAGGCACGAAAGCGUGGGGAGCAAACAGG